GAUUAACGCUAGCGGCAGGCAUAAUACAUGCAAGUUGAACGGGAUUAGCUUAGCAAUAGACUAUGAGAGUGGCGCACGGGUGCGUAACACGUAUGCAACCUGCCCUUGACUGGAGAAUAGCCUCUCGAAAGAGAGAUUAAUGUUCCAUAACAUAUUGGAUAGGCAUCUAUUUGAUAUCAAAGCUCCGGCGGUCAAGGAUGGGCAUGCGGUUGAUUAGCUAGUUGGUGAGGUAACGGCUCACCAAGGCGACGAUCAAUAGGGGGUCUGAGAGGAUGUCCCCCCACACUGGUACUGACACGGACCAGACUCCUACGGGAGGCAGCAGUAGGGAAUAUUGGUCAAUGGAGGCAACUCUGAACCAGCCAUGCCGCGUGCAGGAAGACUGCCCUAUGGGUUGUAAACUGCUUUUGUACGGGAAGAAACCUCCGAAUGCGUUCGGAGUUGACGGUACCGUGAGAAUAAGGAUCGGCUAACUUCGUGCCAGCCGCCGCAGUAAGAC
rnacentral:rRNA from 1 species